rfam:Capsicum annuum cultivar Zunla-1 unplaced genomic scaffold scaffold4555, whole genome shotgun sequence
UGAUGAUGGUGAGGGAAAGUUUUUAGCAUACCCUUAAAUUUUUCCCAAGCUUAGUAGAGAUUCUCUCCUUUUUUCUAUCUGAAACUUAAGAUCUCACUCCUCAAGCA